AUCCAUAAAAUCAAAGCAUGCAACUUAAAAUUUUUUCGACUCACAGAAUCAUAUAUUUGUACUUCAUUUUUUCAUAGCUCUUUUAGAUCAUCGAUUAACGAUCGUAGAUAUACAUCAAUUUCAUUACCUGAUACUUUCAGAUUCGGAGUCAACAGUGACAUAAAAAUAAAUGAUUCUUUCAUGCCGUUUCAAGGUGACACAUUAUAUAUAGCUAACAUCACAGGCCACAUGCUAUAGAAAGUACUCAAAUUGCCAAAG
rnacentral:lncRNA from 1 species